GGUGAAGGCACAGGCUCCCACACACAAACACACUGCUUACUGACUUAGUGCUCUGUUUGUGUUUGCAUUUGUAUGCUUUGCUACACUGUUGUGCUGAGUGCAUGUUCUUUGCUUUGCACUAUUGUGUUAACCGUCUCUGCUGCGCUGUUCUGCUAGGCUAUGCCCUGGUGUACUGUCUGUCCCACUGCUACACUUUGAUGUCUCAUCAUGUGGUGUGCUUUGGGAAGAUAAACUGGUAAGCAGUAAUUCCCUGUUCUGGACUCUCACUUCUGGGUUGGCGGAACUGUUCCUGUUCCUACUCUGACUGCUUUUGUCUGUGCCUGUUCCUGGUCCCUGAUUCUGCCUGCUCUAUGAUACUUCUGCGUGAUUUGAUCCUUUCUGUUUUUUUAGUUGCUGUUUCCUGGUUGCCCUGUACUGCUCUGUUUUUGGUUUUGGAUUUUUGGACUGUUUAUCACCCUGAUUCCUGCCUGCACUAUAUUGCUCUGCUUGCCUGUUAUUGGAUUACUGGACUGUUUAUGACUUUGGAUUCUGCCUGCUCUUCAUUGCCCUGUUUGCCGGUUUUUGGAUUACUGAACUGUUCCUGACGUUGUUUGAUACAUGCCCUGCAUUGCCCUGUUUGCCUGUGUUUUGGAUUAUUGGACUGUCUGCAGUAUUGAACUGUGCCUUCCUUGUUUUAAGCCAGCUCACAUUAAAGACUAAAUUUGAAA